AGAAUCAACGCUGGCGGCGUGCCUAACACAUGCAAGUCGAACGAGAAAGGGGAGCAAUCCCUGAGUAAAGUGGCGACCGGGUGAGUAACACGUGACUAACCUACCUUCGAAUGGGGGAUAACUCCGGGAAACCGGGGCUAAUACCGCAUAACAUCUCCGGAUCGGAAGAACUGGGGAUCAAAGGAGCAAUUCGUUUGAAGAGGGAGUCGCGGCUGAUUAGCUUGUUGGCGGGGUAAUGGCCCACCAAGGCGAUGAUCGGUAUCCGGCCUGAGAGGGCGCACGGACACACUGGAACUGAAACACGGUCCAGACUCCUACGGGAGGCAGCAGUGGGGAAUUUUGCGCAAUGGGGGAAACCCUGACGCAGCAACGCCGCGUGGAGGAUGAAGUCCCUUGGGACGUAAACUCCUUUCGACCGGGACGAUAAUGACGGUACCGGUGGAAGAAGCCCGGCUAACUUCGCGCCAGCAGCCGC
rnacentral:rRNA from 1 species